AUGUGUGUGGUGGCGGCGGCCGAAGAGCUUGUGUGCGGAGCUGAGAGGCCUAUGGAUGAGGAGGACGCGGCGGCCCCGGUUUGUUCUCAUGAACAAGAUGGAUGACCUCAAUCUGCACUACCGGUUUCUGAAUUGGCGCCGGCGGAUCCGGGAGAUUCGAGAGGUCCGAGCUUUCCGAUAUCAGGAGAGGUUCAAACAUAUCCUUGUAGAUGGAGAUACUUUAAGUUAUCAUGGAAACUCUGGUGAAGUUGGCUGCUACGUGGCUUCUCGACCCCUGACCAAGGACAGCAAUUAUUUUGAGGUGUCUAUUGUGGACAGUGGAGUCCGGGGCACCAUUGCUGUGGGGCUGGUCCCUCAGUACUACAGCUUGGAUCACCAGCCUGGCUGGUUGCCUGACUCUGUAGCCUACCAUGCUGAUGAUGGCAAGUGAGUUGGCUCCUGUGCAACCCGGCCCUUUUCCUAUGAAUUUGGGAAUCUUAGAUCUGAAGAACUACCUUGGGCUGGCUUUUCCCAUUGGGUGUUUCAUAGACUUUUCUGGUCAGGACAGGGAAGUGGCCUGGCAGCACCCUUGAAGGCUUACAGACUAGAGGAGGGUGAUGCUCAUGCCAGGACGUAAGUGGGUACCAUCACAGAAUGACCAGGAGCAGCAAGAUGAGGAUGAGGCCUCUGCUGUCAGUGCUGGGGAGAAGUUGGGAGGCCAGGCUCGGGUCCUGUGUCUGUACUACUCUGUCUGUAGGCUGUACAAUGGCCGAGCCAAGGGCCGCCAGUUUGGGUCAAAGUGCAACUCCGGGGACCGGAUUGGCUGUGGCAUUGAGCCUGUGUCCUUUGAUGUGCAGACCGCCCAGAUCUUCUUCACCAAAAAUGGGAAGCGGGUGGGCUCUACCAUCAUGCCCAUGUCCCCAGAUGGACUGUUCCCAGCAGUGGGCAUGCACUCCCUGGGUGAGGAGGUGCGGCUGCACCUCAACGCUGAGCUGGGCCGCGAGGACGACAGCGUCAUGAUGGUGGACAGUUACGAGGAUGAAUGGGGCCGGCUACAUGAUGUCAGAGUCUGUGGGACUCUGCUGGAGUACUU
rnacentral:sRNA from 1 species